GACGAACGCUGGCGGCGUGCCUAAUACAUGCAAGUAGAACGCUGAAGGAGGAGCUUGCUUCUCUGGAUGAGUUGCGAACGGGUGAGUAACGCGUAGGUAACCUGCCUGGUAGCGGGGGAUAACUAUUGGAAACGAUAGCUAAUACCGCAUAAUAGUAGAUGUUGCAUGACAUUUGCUUAAAAGGUGCAAUUGCAUCACUACCAGAUGGACCUGCGUUGUAUUAGCUAGUUGGUGGGGUAACGGCUCACCAAGGCGACGAUACAUAGCCGACCUGAGAGGGUGAUCGGCCACACUGGGACUGAGACACGGCCCAGACUCCUACGGGAGGCAGCAGUAGGGAAUCUUCGGCAAUGGACGGAAGUCUGACCGAGCAACGCCGCGUGAGUGAAGAAGGUUGUCGGAUCGUAAAGCUCUGUUGUAAGAGAAGAACGAGUGUGAGAGUGGAAAGUUCACACUGUGACGGUAUCUUACCAGAAAGGGACGGCUAACUACGUG
rnacentral:rRNA from 1 species